UGACCUCAAAUCAGGUAGGACUACCCGCUGAACUUAAGCAUAUCAAUAAGCGGAGGAAAAGAAACUAACAAGGAUUCCCCUAGUAACUGCGAGUGAAGCGGGAAAAGCUCAAAUUUAAAAUCUGUCAGUCUUUGGCUGUCCGAGUUGUAAUCUAGAGAAGUGUUAUCCGCGCUGGACCGUGUACAAGUCUCCUGGAAUGGAGCGUCAUAGAGGGUGAGAAUCCCGUCUUUGACACGGACUGCCAGGGCUUUGUGAUGCGCUCUCAAAGAGUCGAGUUGUUUGGGAAUGCAGCUCAAAAUGGGUGGUAAAUUCCAUCUAAAGCUAAAUAUUGGCGAGAGACCGAUAGCGAACAAGUACCGUGAGGGAAAGAUGAAAAGAACUUUGGAAAGAGAGUUAAACAGUACGUGAAAUUGCUGAAAGGGAAACGCUUGAAGUCAGUCGCGUUGUCCAGGGAUCAACCUUGCUUUUGCUUGGUGUACUUUCUGGUUGACGGGUCAGCAUCAAUUUUGACUAUUGGAAAAAGAUUAGGGGAAUGUGGCAUCUUUGGAUGUGUUAUAGCCCUUGGUUGCAUACAAU
rnacentral:rRNA from 1 species